ACGAACGCUGGCGGCAUGCCUAACACAUGCACGUCGAACGAGACCUUCGGGUCUAGUGGCGCACGGGUGCGUAACGCGUGGGAACCUGCCCUUAGGUUCGGAAUAACUCCCCGAAAGGGGUGCUAAUACCGGAUAAUGUCUUCGGACCAAAGAUUUAUCGCCUUUGGAUGGGCCCGCGUUGGAUUAGCUAGUUGGUAGGGUAAAAGCCUACCAAGGCGACGAUCCAUAGCUGGUCUGAGAGGAUGAUCAGCCACACUGGGACUGAGACACGGCCCAGACUCCUACGGGAGGCAGCAGUGGGGAAUAUUGGACAAUGGGCGAAAGCCUGAUCCAGCAAUGCCGCGUGAGUGAUGAAGGCCUUAGGGUUGUAAAGCUCUUUUACCCGGGAUGAUAAUGACAGUACCGGGAGAAUAAGCUCCGGCUAACUCCGU
rnacentral:rRNA from 1 species